UUGUACCCGGCUCGUACUUAAGCAUAUCAAUAAGCGGAGGAAAAGAAACCAACAGGGAUUGCCCUAGUAACGGCGAGUGAAGCGGCAACAGCUCAAAUUUGAAAGCUGGCUCCGGCCCGCGUUGUAAUUUGCAGAGGAUGCUUUUGGCGAGGUGCCUUCCGAGUUCCCUGGAACGGGACGCCAUAGAGGGUGAGAGCCCCGUAUGGAUGGACACCAGACCUGUGUAAAGCUCCUUCAACGAGUCGAGUAGUUUGGGAAUGCUGCUCUAAAUGGGAGGUAAAUCUCUUCUAAAGCUAAAUACCGGCCAGAGACCGAUAGCGCACAAGUAGAGUGAUCGAAAGAUGAAAAGCACCUUGAAAAGGGGGUUAAACAGUACGUGAAAUUGUUGAAAGGGAAGCGCUUGUGACCAGACUUGCGCCGGGCAGCUCAUCAGGGGUUCUCCCCUGUGCACUCUGCCCGGCUCAGGCCAGCAUCGGUUCUCGUGGGAGGAUAAGAACAGUGGGAACGUGGCCCCCUCUCGGGGGGGUGUUAUAGCCCAUUGUACGAUACUCUCGUGGGGACCGAGGUUCGCGCUCCGCAAGGAUGCUGGCGUAAUGGUCAUCAGCGACCCGUCUUGAAACACGGACCAAGGAGUCGUCCAUUAGAGCGAGCGUUUGGGUGUAAAACCCGCACGCGUAAUGAAAGUGAACGCAGGUGAGAGCUUCGGCGCAUCAUCGACCGAUCCUGAUGUCUUCGGAUGGAUUUGAGUAAGAGUUUUAACGGACGGACCCGAAAGACAGUGAACUAUGCUUGUAUAGGGUGAAGCCAGAGGAAACUCUGGUGGAGGCUCGCAGCGGUUCUGACGUGCAAAUCGAUCGUCAAAUAUGAGCAUGGGGGCGAAAGACUAAUCCGAACCUCCUAGCCCCCCC
rnacentral:rRNA from 1 species